CAAUAGCGUAUAUUAAAGUUGUUGCGGUUAAAAAGCUCGUAGUUGGAUUUCUGUUGAGGACGGCCGGUCCGCACUAUGUGCGUGUAUCUGGUUCGGCCUCGGCAUCCUCUCGAAAGCCGUUUCUGCGCUUGAUUGCGUGGUUCGGACUUCGGGACUUUUACUUUGAGGAAAUUAGAGUGUUCACGGCAGGCAAGCGCCUUGAAUAUAUUAGCAUGGAAUAAUAAUAUAGGAUCUUGGUCCUAUUUUGUUGGUUUCUGGGGCUAAGAUAAUGAUUAAUAGGGACAAUUGGGGGCAUUCGUAUUAACGCGUCAGAGGUGGAAUUCUUGGAUUGCGUUACGACGAACUACUGCGAAAGCAUUUGCCAAGGAUGUUUUCAUUGA
rnacentral:rRNA from 1 species